AGAGGAGAGUGGAAUUCCACGUGUAGCGGUGAAAUGCGUAGAGAUGUGGAGGAACACCAGUGGCGAAGGCGACUCUCUGGUCUGUAACUGACGCUGAGGAGCGAAAGCGUGGGGAGCGAACAGGAUUAGAUACCCUGGUAGUGCACGCCGUAAACGAUGAGUGCUAAGUGUUAGGGGGUUUCCGCCCCUUAGUGCUGCAGCUAACGCAUUAAGCACUCCGCCUGGGGAGUACGGUCGCAAGACUGAAACUCAAAGGAAUUGACGGGGGCCCGCACAAGCGGUGGAGCAUGUGGUUUAAUUCGAAGCAACGCGAAGAACCUUACCAGGUCUUGACAUCCUCUGACAAUCCUAGAGAUAGGACGUCCCCUUCGGGGGCAGAGUGACAGGUGGUGCAUGGUUGUCGUCAGCUCGUGUCGUGAGAUGUUGGGUUAAGUCCCGCAACGAGCGCAACCCUUGAUCUUAGUUGCCAGCAUUCAGUUGGGCACUCUAAGGUGACUGCCGGUGACAAACCGGAGGAAGGUGGGGAUGACGUCAAAUCAUCAUGCCCCUUAUGACCUGGGCUACACACGUGCUACAAUGGACAGAACAAAGGGCAGCGAAACCGCGAGGUUAAGCCAAUCCCACAAAUCUGUUCUCAGUUCGGAUCGCAGUCUGCAACUCGAUUGCGUGAAGCUGGAAUCGCUAGUAAUCGCGGAUCAGCAUGCCGCGGUGAAUAC
rnacentral:rRNA from 1 species